UAUGUUGUUGAUAAAAUUUAUAUGUUGUUGAUGUUUUUUUUUGUUGAUAAAAGUUCUUUUUUGUUUAGGGUAUGUUGUUGAUGAUAAACUUGUAGGUUCUUGAUGUUUUUGUUUUUGUUGAUCUGUGUUGUUAUUGAUAAAAAAAUUAUGUUGUUGAUGAUUUUGAUUUUUGUUGAUAAAAUUUCUAUGUUGUUUAUGAUAUGUUGUU
rnacentral:lncRNA from 1 species